rnacentral:rRNA from 1 species
GACGAACGCUGGCGGCGUGCCUAAUACAUGCAAGUUGAGCGCUGAAGGUUGGUACUUGUACCAACUGGAUGAGCAGCGAACGGGUGAGUAACGCGUGGGGAAUCUGCCUUUGAGCGGGGGACAACAUUUGGAAACGAAUGCUAAUACCGCAUAAAAACUUUAAACACAAGUUUUAAGUUUGAAAGAUGCAAUUGCAUCACUCAAAGAUGAUCCCGCGUUGUAUUAGCUAGUUGGUGAGGUAAAGGCUCACCAAGGCGAUGAUACAUAGCCGACCUGAGAGGGUGAUCGGCCACAUUGGGACUGAGACACGGCCCAAACUCCUACGGGAGGCAGCAGUAGGGAAUCUUCGGCAAUGGACGAAAGUCUGACCGAGAAACGCCGAGUGAGUGAAGAAGGGUGUCGGAUCGUAAAACUCGGUUGGUAGAGAAGAACGUUGGUGAGAGUGGAAAGCUCAUCAAGUGACGGUAACUACCCAGAAAGGGACGGCUAACUACGUG